rnacentral:rRNA from 1 species
AACGAACGCUGGCGGCAUGCCUAACACAUGCAAGUCGAACGAGACCUUCGGGUCUAGUGGCGCACGGGUGCGUAACGCGUGGGAACCUGCCCUUAGGUUCGGAAUAACUCCCCGAAAGGGGUGCUAAUACCGGAUAAUGUCUUCUGACCAAAGAUUUAUCGCCUUUGUUUGGGCCCGCGUUGGAUUAGCUCGUUGGUAGGGUAAAAGCCUACCAAGGCGACGAUCCAUAGCUGGUAUGAGAGGAUGAUCAGCCACACUGGGACUGAGACACGGCCCAGACUCCUACGGGAGGCAGCAGUGGGGAAUAUUGGAAAAUGGGCGAAAGCAUGAACCAGCAAUGACGGGUGAGUGAUGAAGGCCUUAGGGUUGUAAAGCUCUUUUACCCGGGAUGAUAAUGACAGUACCGGGAGAAUAAGCUCCGGCUAACUCCGUG